UGUACAUGAUCAAUUGUGCCA
ensembl:piRNA 21ur-881 ncRNA